rnacentral:rRNA from 1 species
UACGUAGGGGGCAAGCGUUGUCCGGAUUUACUGGGCGUAAAGAGCGUGUAGGCGGCCAAGCAGGUCCGUUGUGAAAACUGGAGGCUUAACCUCCAGACGUCGACGGAAACCGCGUGGCUAGAGUCCGGAAGAGGAGAGUGGAAUUCCUGGUGUAGCGGUGAAAUGCGCAGAUAUCAUCAGGAACACCGGAGGCGAAGGCGGCUCACUGGGGCUUUUCUGACGCUGAGGAACGGAAAGCCAGGGUAGCGAACGGG